GAUGAACGCUGACAGAAUGCUUAACACAUGCAAGUCUACUUGAACUUCGGUUUGGGUGGCGGCCGGGUGAGUAACGCGUAAAGAACUUGCCUCACAGUUAGGGACAACAUUUGGAAGCGAAUGCUAAUACCUGAUAUUAUGAUUUUAGGGCAUCCUAAAAUUAUGAAAGCUAUAUGCGCUGUGAGAGAGCUUUGCGUCCCAUUAGCUAGUUGGAGAGGUAACGGCUCACCAAGGCGAUGAUGGGUAGCCGGCCUGAGAGGGUGAACGGCCACAAGGGGACUGAGACACGGCCCUUACUCCUACGGGAGGCAGCAGUGGGGAAUAUUGGACAAUGGACCAAAAGUCUGAUCCAGCAAUUCUGUGUGCACGAUGACGUUUUUCGGAAUGUAAAGUGCUUUCAGUUGGGAAGAAAAAAAUGACGGUACCAACAGAAGAAGUGACGGCUAAAUACGUG
rnacentral:rRNA from 1 species